UCCUACGGGAGGCAGCAGUAGGGAAUCUUCCGCAAUGGACGAAAGUCUGACGGAGCAACGCCGCGUGAGUGAUGAAGGUUUUCGGAUCGUAAAACUCUGUUGUUAGGGAAGAACAAGUAUCGGAGUAACUGCCGGUACCUUGACGGUACCUAACCAGAAAGCCACGGCUAACUACGUGCCAGCAGCCGCGGUAAUACGUAGGUGGCAAGCGUUGUCCGGAAUUAUUGGGCGUAAAGCGCGCGCGGGUGGUUCCUUAAGUCUGAUGUGAAAGCCCACGGCUCAACCGUGGAGGGUCAUUGGAAACUGGGGAACUUGAGUGCAGAGGAGGAAAGUGGAAUUCCAAGUGUAGCGGUGAAAUGCGUAGAGAUUUGGAGGAACACCAGUGGCGAAGGCGACUUUCUGGUCUGUAACUGACACUGAGGCGCGAAAGCGUGGGGAGCGAACAGGAUUAGAUACCCUGGUAGUCCACGCCGUAAACGAUGAGUGCUAAGUGUUAGAGGGUUUCCGCCCUUUAGUGCUGCAGCAAACGCAUUAAGCACUCCGCCUGGGGAGUACGACCGCAAGGUUGAAACUCAAAGGAAUUGACGGA
rnacentral:rRNA from 1 species